UAUGCAGCAGGCCCACCAGGAAACGAUUGUUUGGUUCGCUGUUUUCCCAUUCCCCGCCGAAUCGGUUACUCCCCCAUUACAUUGAUUGCGCGUAAUAGGCAUUACGGCCCCUCAGCGCCGAUUACCCAUUCCGCGUCUUUCCCUUUUUUCUCUUCCGUUUUCUACCCUCGUCCUCAACGCUGUCAAAAGCUUCCCCAAAGUAAUCGACAGAGUCCUUGACGUUGUCAAAAGCUUCCCCAAAGUCGAACCUUCCAAGUUAUUGGUAGAUAUUAGAAGAAGAUGGUGCUGGUUUUGGCUUUAGGGGAUUUGCAUAUACCCCAUCGGGCGGCUGAUCUCCCUCCCAAAUUCAAGUCCAUGCUAGUUCCUGGAAUGAUCCAACACGUCUUUUGCACUAGUAAUCUUUGCAUCAAUGAAGUUCAAGAUUACUUGAAGACACUUUGUCCUGACUUGCAAAUUACCAGAGGUGAAUAUGAUGAAGAUACAAGAUAUCCCGAUACCAAAACAUUAACUAUCGGAUAAUUCAAGUUGGGAUUGUGCCAUGCCAUGGCCAUCAGGUAUUAUUUUCUUCUUUCCGCUGGUAUAUAGUAUUGGACUCUGCAUUUUAAAUCAGUAAGUAGUUUGCCAUUGAUGCGGUUUAUAAAUUUAUAUUGAAGCAUGCAUCUCCUGCUGUGAAAAAUAUGUGAUUUCAUGCUAAUGGUGUUAAAUAAAUAUAAAAAUAAUCGUUCAUGCCUUACAUUUCAAGUUAAAAUAUGUUCUGUUUGGAAAACUUGUAGACAGAGAUCUUGCUCUCUUUUUUUGAAGCUGCUAAAGGAUGCACGAAGGAUCUACAGUUUUAUGCAUUUGUAACUUGUGAUUCUUGUGGUAAGUAGCGCCUAAAAUUUGUUGGAAUCAUGUUGUGUUCAAGAACCAUACAAGCACAAAUGUAAUCCACUAAAUGCAUAAUCCCUGUAGUAUUCAAUUUACAUUUGUUUAAUACGUAUUCUCAUAAUCUCGUUACUGCUAGAAAUCAAUUUUUGCUUAAUUUGUUGCAAAUAUUUUCCAGCAUCUUUAAAUAAAUGUGUUUGUCUUCUCUUUCCAUUUGGAUUCGGUGUUGCCUUCAACUCCGAACAUCCACGUCAAAUAAAAUAGGGUCUGUGGGUUGUUCACAGGCUAGUGCUGACUGCUAUUUAUGGCUCCAUACUGUUUAUGUACCAUUCCAAGUGGAGAGAAAGGUAACCUGGUAUGUUCAUCUAAGUUACUUACAUUUUUUGCAAGUUGAUUAAUCAUAGACUUACUGUUGCUUCUUUGUCCUUCUGCAGCAAGACCUGCAUUCUACAAAUAUGUUGCCUUCAUGUUCAUCUUGAAUGCACUAGAACUGUUUGCUUUACCUAGAGCUUCUUCCUAAAGAUCAAUAUACCAAUAUUGCUGUGGGAACAUAUCCAAAAAUGUAGAAUAUGCUUUACCUAGAGCUUCUUCCUAAAGAUCAGUUAGUCCUUGAUUUUUUUUUUCAGUAUGUACUAUGUGUUAUCAAGUAGAUUUGGAGUUUGAAUAUCUACAUCUAAAUUAUUUUCAUUUCCAAGCAGAGAUCUUUUCUGAUCAAUUUUCUUGUAACAAAAUAAAUAGUAUCAUUGUGUUUGUUAUUGUAGAAUUACAAGAGUCUUGUACUAAUAGAAUUUGAUGGAGUUUGAAUGGCUCACAGGUUUGAUGGAGUUUA